CAUUCAUGGAUUAAUAUAUGUCCGUAUUUUUACUAGAAGACGAUGAAGAUUUGAAUGUCUGCAUGUAAUGCUUCACAAUUUUACUCCUUGCUUUUGAAGGCUCUGCAUGCUUCUCUUCCAACCAAUUACUUACUAGCUGCAACAGCCUGACAGUAUGUUCCUAAGAUUGUUGUUGCUGAAGAGAUGAUUGCAUGUGAAGAACUGCUACAGAUCAGAUGGCAACCUUUGAUCAGGUUUUCACCUUAUGAUCUCUUGGAGUGAUCUUACCAUUCUAUGGCAACCUUUGAUCAGUCAAUGGAGAUUGACCAUGAUGAUGGCUGCAUAUGAGUGAAGAAGACAAAUGCUCUGGAUGAUGCCAAUAUGUACAAGGAUACAGGGGUGGGUCUAUCAAAUUCCUGCUAUGCAUCUCUGAUACUGGUUAAGAAGCAAAGUGCCAUGGUUAUCAUCACUGUUUUGGAGGAUAUAGACUCUAUGCCUCUCCAUCCCUUGGGCUUCUUUGAGUGCCGAAGUGUUUCAUGCUGAAUGGUACUUGGUAAAUGGAGCACGGUGUUGGAGGGAACAGAGGCGGCUGGACGAGGCAGCGGCGCGAUGGGUUUGGGCUGGUGCAGGGAAGGGGGGCUGCCGUGCGUACGGGAAAAGGUGGUGUUGGUCAUCGCGGGAGCUCGGAUAGAGAUGGCGGUCGGACAACAGAGUGGCCCCUUCUCAAUGGAGGAUCUUCUCUUCUUUGUCCUUGACUUCCUGGCGAUGCGGUUUGCCGGGUGAACAGAGGCGUCUAAACAAGGCAGCGGCGCGAUGGGGCUGGGCCGGUGCGGGGAAGCGAGGUUGCCAUGCGUGUGGGGAAAGGAGGUGCAGGUCAUUGCAGACUCAUCUCUUCCCGCCCACUUCAUCUCAACCAGGCAGCAUGACCAGCAGCGACGUGCCGCUGCCGCCGAAGCGGUUAGGGGUCCGAAGCUGCUCGCCGAGCCCUGCCACCGCAGGUGUUCUGCCAGAGCGCCGCAACUCCCUGCCUCGACAAGGAGGCGUAGCAUUGAUGGCGGGCGACGACCGGACCAG